rnacentral:rRNA from 1 species
GGACGAACGCUGGCGGCGUGCCUACUACAUGCAAGUAGAACGCACAGUUUAUACCGUAGCUUGCUACACCAUAAACUGUGAGUUUCGAACGGGUGAGUAACGCGUAGGUAACCUGCCUGGUAGCGGGGGAUAACUAUUGGAAACGAUAGCUAAUACCGCAUAAUAUUUAUUAUUGCAUGAUAAUUGAUUGAAAGAUGCUAUUGCAUCACUACCAGAUGGACCUGCGUUGUAUUAGCUAGUAGGUGAGGUAACGGCUCACCUAGGCGACGAUACAUAGACGAGCUGGGAGGGUGAUCGGCCCACCUGGGACUGGGACACCGCCCAGACUCCUACGGGAGGCAGCAGUAGGGGAUCUUCGGCAAUGGACGAAAGUCUGAACGAACAAAGCCGGGUGAGUGGAGAAGGUUUUCGGGUCGUAAAGCUCUGUUGUAAGAGAAGGAAGAGUAUGAGAGUGAAAAGUUCACGCUGUGACGGUAUCUUACCAGAAAGGGACGGCUAACUACGUG